rnacentral:rRNA from 1 species
GGUUUGUAAUCUUUGAUGGAUUGUCCUUCACGUCGUGUAUAUUUUUGAGUCACUUAAUUGGGGUUCUUAAAUAACCGACAAGUUUACUUUGAAAAAAUUAGAGUGCUUAAAGCAGGCUUAUGCUUGUAUAUUGUUGCAUGGAAUAAUAGAAUAAGACUUCGGUUUUAUUUUGUUGGUUUUCUAAACUGAAGUAAUGAUUAAAAGAGACUGCCGGGGGCAUAUGUAUGCUGGUGAUAGAGGUGAAAUUCUGAGACCAUCAGCAGACAAUCUACUGCGAAAGCAUUUGCCAAGAAUGUUUUCAUUAAUCAAGAACGAAAGUCAGAGGAUCGAAGACGAUCAGAUACCGUCCUAGUUCUGACCAUAAACUAUGCCAACUGACAGUUAGCGAUGAUAUUUAUUCAUCUUGCUAGAAGUCACCGGGAAACCAAAGUCUUUGGGUUCCGGGGGAAGUAUGGUUGCAAAGCUGAAACUUAAAGGAAUUGACGGAAGGGCACCACCAGGAGUGGAGCCUGCGGCUUAAUUUGACUCAACACGGGAAAUCUCACCCGGUCCGGACACUGUGAGGAUUGACAGAUUGAUAGCUCUUUCUUGAUUCGGUGGGUGGUGGUGCAUGGCCGUUCUUAGUUGGUGGAGCGAUUUGUCAGGUUAAUUCCGAUAACGAACGAGACUCUGACUUGCUAAAUAGUGGAUUUAUUUUAAUUCGUAAAUAAUCACUUCUUAGAAGAAUAAAUAGCGUUUAGCUAAAUGAAAAAGAGCAAUAACAGGUCUGUGAUGCCCUUAGAUGUCCGGGGCCGCACGCGCGCUACAAUGGCAGUAACAGCGAGUUUGUCCAAACUAGAAAUAGUGAGGUAAUCUUGUCAAACACUGUCGUAACAGGGAUUGUGAAUUGAAAUUAUUUCACAUGAACGAGGAAUUCCUAGUAAGCGCAAGUCACUAGCUUGCGCUGAUUACGUCCCUGCCCUUUGUACACACCGCCCGUCGCUACUACCGAUUGAAUGGUUUAGUGAGAUUGUUGGAUUCUGAGCUAAGAAAUGGCAACAUUUCUAUGAA